AAUUAGAAAGGAAUGAUAACAAUGAAAAUUAAAACAUGGAAAUGGCCAAUUGGUAUAUUUUUAAGGAUACAUUUACUAAUAUUUAUUAUAAAUUUUAAUUAUACUUUUUUAAAUUACAUAUGCUUGUAUUUAUGGUUAUAUGGUUAUAAUGUUCAAGACUAUAUCAAUAAUAUUAUUUAUCUACAAUAUGUUAAUAUUUUCAUGCGCAUCCAUGUGAAGAGACCACCAAACAGGCUUUGUG
rnacentral:lncRNA from 1 species